rnacentral:rRNA from 1 species
GACGAACGCUGGCGGCGUGCCUAAUACAUGCAAGUCGAACGCACUCUCGUUUAGAUUGAAGGAGCUUGCUCCUGAUUGAUAAACAUUUGAGUGAGUGGCGGACGGGUGAGUAACACGUGGGUAACCUGCCCUAAAGUGGGGGAUAACAUUUGGAAACAGAUGCUAAAUACCGCAUAAAACCUAACACCGCAUGGUGUAGGGUUGAAAGAUGGUUUCGGCUAUCACUUUAGGAUGGACCCGCGGUGCAUUAGUUAGUUGGUGAGGUAAAGGCUCACCAAGACCGUGAUGCAUAGCCGACCUGAGAGGGUAAUCGGCCACACUGGGACUGAGACACGGCCCAGACUCCUACGGGAGCAGCAGUAGGGAAUCUUCCACAAUGGACGAAAGUCUGAUGGAGCAACGCGCGUGAGUGAAGAAGGUUUCGGAUCGUAAAACUCUGUUGUUGGAGAAGAAUGUAUCUGAUAGUAACUGAUCAGGUAGUGACGGUAUCCAACCAGAAAG